CCGCUGGCCGGGCCCAGCCGUUCCCCAAGAGCAGCGCAGAGGAACGGGGGAGCCAGCGCCCAGCCGUGAGGAGGACCCGUGCCAAAUAUCUGAGCCAGCCGGCCGUGGGAAUUACGCUCCCAUUCAGGGCAGCAGCGGAGCUGGCUUCACGUCGUGCUCUGCCAAGCGCGGGUUGUGCGAGCGGCUCUGGCGGCCGCGGGGCAUCAGCGGAGACUCAUGGAACUUGAGCAACAUAAGCUUCUGCUGAGAAUUCUACAGCCUGUUGAGGACACACUCAGGGAGAAGUAAAAACGAGUUUGGAAGACGGAUACAGUAGAAACAUGGGGAUCUGUUACAGGUUUGAAGGAGGAAGAAGUGCUUGGAAUGAGGUAGCGUCGAGAAGAGAAUGCAUCUCUGCUAAUCAGAUACAUAAGAAAGAAUUUCAAAGGACAGUCUAGGCCCGCACAUAGCUUAUGGAAAACAUCAAUUAUCCGGACACCUAAAAUCUCCUCUAGGUCAGGCACAGAAGAGUUUAUCUUGUGGACCAAAAUUCUCAUUGGGUGCUGAGAGCUGCCAGAUUUUUCGAUAUUCAGGAGGACAUCAAGGUUUGAAGGAGGAUCAGAAGGCUGC